GCUCUUUAUUAAUUGCUAAGACCAUAUCGCCUUGUUCCAAUAAAUUUUCAGCUUUAGAUCCAGCAAAGCAACCUUUAACUCGCAAUACUUGGCGUCUCAUGGGAUCCUUCUUUACGAGGGCCUAGAAGGUAUAAUAUGUAUCAAGAAAAGGCUUACAUCAGACACAUGGUGCACCCAUUUCAAACAUCUUCUGCAGAUUAUCUAAUUUGUUUUGUAAGCUCACCAGGCAUAAAACCAAGUACUAAUUAUAAAACGGGAAGAAACAGGAACUUAAAUAGUCUAUAUUUAAAAAACAAGAAACUAGGGAAAAUAAUUUGAGUAAUCAUAGAUGCCCAUGAUCAAUGAUCAAGUUGCAUCCAUGGAUCUCCCAUCCAACCAAAAUCCAAACAUAUAAGAAACUAGAUUAUCUUACCAUUAUAUUAUCGCCUAGAUCUCUGCUACUAGAUUAUAUUAUCGCCUAGUUCUCUACUACUUGAGGAUUGAUAUUAAAGCUUUAAAGAGAGUUUGAAACCUAAUCUGACCAAAACAAGCCUAGGUUGUUGGAAAAAGAUUUUUUAAAAAAACAUCUAGUUUAUAAAUGUGUUUUCGCUAAUGUCUUUUUAAAUUAAAGACAAUAAAAAGAAAAAAUACACUCGGGAUAAGAUACGGAUAGAAGGAAAAGCAAGAACAGGAAAUGACAAACCAAACAGAUAUCUCCAGAACUAGUAGCUUACCUGGAUCCAAGUAUCAUUGAGUCCAAAACUUCGAGCUUUGGAAAGCAAAGUAGGGUAAAGUUCAACUUCC
rnacentral:lncRNA from 1 species